rnacentral:rRNA from 1 species
GCAGUCGAACGCUUCUUUUUCCACCGGAGCUUGCUCCACCGGAAAAAGAAGAGUGGCGAACGGGUGAGUAACACGUGGGUAACCUGCCCAUCAGAAGGGGAUAACACUUGGAAACAGGUGCUAAUACCGUAUAACAAUCAAAAUCGCAUGGUUUUGAUUUGAAAGGCGCUUUCGGGUGUCGCUGAUGGAUGGACCCGCGGUGCAUUAGCUAGUUGGUGAGGUAACGGCUCACCAAGGCCACGAUGCAUAGCCGACCUGAGAGGGUGAUCGGCCACAUUGGGACUGAGACACGGCCCAAACUCCUACGGGAGGCAGCAGUAGGGAAUCUUCGGCAAUGGACGAAAGUCUGACCGAGCAACGCCGCGUGAGUGAAGAAGGUUUUCGGAUCGUAAAACUCUGUUGUUAGAGAAGAACAAGGAUGAGAGUAACUGUUCAUCCCUUGACGGUAUCUAACCAGAAAGCCACGGCUAACUACGUGCCAGCAGCCGCGGUAAUACGUAGGUGGCAAGCGUUGUCCGGAUUUAUUGGGCGUAAAGCGAGCGCAGGCGGUUUCUUAAGUCUGAUGUGAAAGCCCCCGGCUCAACCGGGGAGGGUCAUUGGAAACUGGGAGACUUGAGUGCAGAAGAGGAGAGCGGAAUUCCAUGUGUAGCGGUGAAAUGCGUAGAUAUAUGGAGGAACACCAGUGGCGAAAGCGGCUCUCUGGUCUGUAACUGACGCUGAGGCUCGAAAGCGU